rnacentral:lncRNA from 1 species
UCCGGACACCCAAAUAGGUGUGUUUUGGGACAGCAGGUGACUCCUGAUGUGAGUCGGUGCCUUUAGGGAUGUUUCGUGCGUUUCGGGGGCAUCCUAGCAUGUUUUUGGAACUCUCGGCAAGUUCGGGAAUUGGUUUUGGAAAACCAAUUCCAUGGGUGGUUUUUUAGAUUUGUGAGUGAUGUGUUGUGAGUCAUGUGGAUUAGAUCCUCACUCGGUGGACCUUUCAUAGGUCCGAUCGGCGUCCUUCGCCUCGCAAGAGCUAGACGCGGCGACGGACAUGUGGGUACUUCAAUCCGAAGUCGGUUGUCACGCCCCAAUCCCCGCCAAUUUGGUCGGGUUCGGGUCACGUCAACAGACGCCGAACAGACAGAGCCUCCCCUGUCCGCCCAAGGCUCUAAAACAUGUAUAAUAAAGCAAUCAAACAAUGAGAUUAGCUUUUAUACAAGGCUUGCACGAGGGCAAGCAAC